rnacentral:lncRNA from 1 species
CAGCAUACCGCUUAUAUAAAAGCAUGUAGGUGGGAAAUAAAAUGGUAAAUUCAGAAGCAGCUAGGUGUCCAUUUGGGUUGUAAUGGAGCCUUCAUGAAGUACGGUAAUAAUUAGUAAUACUGGAAAAUUACUUUGGGUCCAGAGAGAUUUAAAAGCCAAUAUAGAGUACAUUUCAUCUUAUAGACAAUAGGGAGACAAUGAAAGUUUCUGGAGCACAGUCAGACUUUUGCCUAUGGGAAUCUUAUUUUGGCAACAAAGUGGGGAAUUUGUUUUAGAGAACAGAAAUGGGAAGAUCAGAAUAGAAGCUGCUACCAGAGUCCAGGUGAGGGACUCAUUUAAGGGAAUGUUUGUGCGAGUAGAGAAAAGGAGAUGGAUGUAAGAGAUAUUGUGGGGGUAGACAGUCUUAUAAGUGGGAAGAGAAAGGAAAUAAUCAAGAACCAGCCAACAAGCAAUUAUUAAGUGACCUCAUGUGCUGUGAAAUUGAGAUUAACACCACUCUACUUAUUCUUUAGAAUUCUAGCCACCAGGAAUAUAUAUACCCCCCACUUAAGGAUUAAGUGUGGGGGAGGAAGGUCUAAGACCCUUCAAAAACAACUGACUGCCUCCUGGGCAGGUCAAAGCCAAGUUUAAGCCACCAUUGGUACUGGUAAUGCACAGGAAGUGAUGCAAAGAACUGCCUUUAAAUUUCAUGGUCACUUCCUGUGAGGGGGUCUUCGCCUUGGAACUUGACCAUGGAGGAGCUCGGGCUUGAGAUCUCAGACUGUUUCCCUUUUGGACUGUCACAUGGGUGCAGGAGAUCCAAGCUGCCAAAAAGAACACAGAAGAAAACUGAAGUUUAUUCCUCAUGAUUGGGAUGCUCUGUCUCUUCAUUUCAGCCCCUCAGAAUUCCUGUCUCCAGAUGCAGAAAAUGAGGCUCAGAGAGAGUUUGUGACUUGCCCAGUUGCCUAGGCAUGAUGUAUGUGGCAGGGAAGGGACACAAACCCAGAUUGAAGUUUUGUGGCAAACCUGAGUCAAGCAAGUCUAUUGGUGCCAUUUUCCCAACAGCAUGUACUCAAAUAACAUCUGUGUGUUACACUUUGGUAACUGUCCCAAUAUUUCAAACUUUUUCAUAAUUAUUAUAUUUUUAUGGAGAUCUGUGAUCAGGGAUCUUUAAUGUUACUAUUGUCAUUGUUUUGGAGCGCCAUGAACCACUACCACAUAAGAAGGCAAACUUAAUAAAUGUUGUGUGUGUUCUGACUAAUCCA